GCCGGGUAUGGUGGUGCAUGCCUGUAAUUCCAGUUACUUGGAAGGCUGAGGCAGAAGAAUUGCUUGAACCCGGGAGACAGAGGUUGCAGUGAGUCAAGAUUGCGCCACUGUACUCCUGCCUGGGUGACUGAGUGAGACUCUGUCUCAA
ensembl:misc_RNA Metazoa_SRP Metazoan signal recognition particle RNA